GAUGAACGCUGGCGGCGUGCCUAAUACAUGCAAGUCGAGCGAACAGACGAGGAGCUUGCUCCUCUGACGUUAGCGGCGGACGGGUGAGUAACACGUGGAUAACCUACCUAUAAGACUGGGAUAACUUCGGGAAACCGGAGCUAAUACCGGAUAAUAUAUUGAACCGCAUGGUUCAAUAGUGAAAGACGGUUUUGCUGUCACUUAUAGAUGGAUCCGCGCCGCAUUAGCUAGUUGGUAAGGUAACGGCUUACCAAGGCAACGAUGCGUAGCCGACCUGAGAGGGGGGUCGGCCACACUGGAACUGGGACACGGGCCAAGCUCCUACGGGAGGCAGCAGUAGGGAAUCUUCCGCAAUGGGCGAAAGCCUGACGGAGCAACGCCGCGUGAGUGAUGAAGGUCUUCGGAUCGUAAAACUCUGUUAUUAGGGAAGAACAAAUGUGUAAGUAACUAUGCACGUCUUGACGGUACCUAAUCAGAAAGCCACGGCUAACUACGU
rnacentral:rRNA from 1 species